GGUUUUAUGGUGUAGUCGGUAGCACCCAGGACUUUGAAUCCUGUAACCGGAGUUCGAGUCUCCGUAAAACCA
rnacentral:tRNA from 1 species